rnacentral:hammerhead_ribozyme from 15 species
CAGGCGUCUAAGGUUGGCUCUCACUAUAUUACCUUACUGAUGAGUCCAGUAGUGGAAGCCGGGUCGAAACGCCAU